GACGAACGCUGGCGGCGUGCUUAACACAUGCAAGUCGAACGGAAAGGCCCUGCUUUUGUGGGGUGCUCGAGUGGCGAACGGGUGAGUAACACGUGAGUAACCUGCCCUUGACUUUGGGAUAACUUCAGGAAACUGGGGCUAAUACCGGAUAGGAGCUCCUGCUGCAUGGUGGGGGUUGGAAAGUUUCGGCGGUUGGGGAUGGACUCGCGGCUUAUCAGCUUGUUGGUGGGGUAGUGGCUUACCAAGGCUUUGACGGGUAGCCGGCCUGAGAGGGUGACCGGCCACAUUGGGACUGAGAUACGGCCCAGACUCCUACGGGAGGCAGCAGUGGGGAAUAUUGCACAAUGGGCGGAAGGCUGAUGCAGCAACGCCGCGUGCGGGAUGACGGCCUUCGGGUGGUAAACCGCUUUCGCCUGUGACGAAGCGUGAGUGACGGUAAUGUGUAAAGAAGCACCGGCUAACUACGUG
rnacentral:rRNA from 1 species